UAAAUAUUAUAUUUUUUUGUUAAUGAAAAGAUAUUUCGCAGCUAUUUAAAUAUGUCACCAUGAGUCCCUUCACUAUUCAGUGAUUGUUUUCUCAUUUAAACUUACAUUGAGCGAACAGUGUAGAAUCUUAGGAAAUGAUUAGGCGAAUAUCACAACACUGGCGGGUUUCUGUGGCUUGAAGCCUGACUACAUCACAGGGAGAACAUAGAACUUAGAGGGAAGUCAGUGACACCAUAGAGAGAAGAGAGAAGGAGAUGGAUGCCCAUUGACCAUGGCUUCCCAUCCAGGGGGAAA